GAUGAACGCUGGCGGCGUGCCUAAUACAUGCAAGUCGAGCGAACGGACGAGAAGCUUGCCUCUCUGAUGUUAGCGGCGGACGGGUGAGUAACACGUGGAUAACCUACCUAUAAGACUGGGAUAACUUCGGGAAACCGGAGCUAAUACCGGAUGAUAUUUUGAACCGCAUGGUUCAAAAGUGAAAGACGGUCUUGCUGUCACUGAUAGAUGGAUCCGCGCUGCAUUAGCUAGUUGGUAAGGUAACGGCUUACCAAGGCAACGAUGCAUAGCCGACCUGAGAGGGUGAUCGGCCACACUGGAACUGAGACACGGUCCAGACUCCUACGGGAGGCAGCAGUAGGGAAUCUUCCGCAAUGGGCGAAAGCCUGACGCAGCCACGCCGCGUGAGUGAUGAAGGUCUUCGGAUCGUAAAACUCUGUUAUUAGGGAAGAACAUAUGUGUAAGUAACUGUGCACAUCUUGACGGUACCUAAUCAGAAAGCCACGGCUAACUACGUG
rnacentral:rRNA from 1 species